rnacentral:rRNA from 1 species
AGAGUUUGAUCCUGGCUCAGAAUGAACGCUGGCGGCGUGCCUAACACAUGCAAGUCGUACGAGAAAUCCCGAGCUUGCUUGGGAGAGUAAAGUGGCGCACGGGUGAGUAGCGCGUGGGUAACCCACCUUCGAAUCUGGGAUAACUCCGCGAAAGCGGUGCUAAUACCGGAUAAGACCACAUUCCGUUCGCGGAAAGAGGUAAAAGCUGACCUCUCCAUGGAAGUUAGCGUUCGAGGACGGGCCCGCGUUGGAUUAGCUAGUUGGUGAGGUAAAGGCUCACCAAGGCUGCGAUCUAUAGCUGGUCUGAGAGGAUGAUCAGCCACACUGGGACUGAGACACGGCCCAGACUCCUACGGGAGGCAGCAGUGGGGAAUAUUGGACAAUGGGCGCAAGCCUGAUCCAGCCAUGCCGCGUGAGUGAAGAAGGCCUUAGGGUUGUAAAGCUCUUUCACUGGUGAAGAUGAUGACGGUAACCAGAGAAGAAGCCCCGGCUAACUCCGUGCCAGCAGCCGCGGUAAUACGGAGGGGGCAAGCGUUGUUCGGAAUUACUGGGCGUAAAGGGCGCGUA